GAUGAACGCUGGCGGCGUGCCUAAUACAUGCAAGUCGAGCGAACGGACGAGAAGCUUGCUUCUCUAAUGUUAGCGGCGGACGGGUGAGUAACACGUGGAUAACCUACCUAUAAGACUGGGAUAACUUCGGGAAACCGUAGCUAAUACCGGAUAAUAUUUUGAACCGCAUGGUUCAAAAGUGAAAGACGGUCUUGCUGUCACUUAUAGCUGGAUCCGCGCUGCAUUAGCUAGUUGGUAAGGUAACGGCUUACCAAGGCAACGAUGCAUAGCCGACCUGAGAGGGGGAUAGGCCACACUGGAACUGGGACACGGUCCAGACUCCUACGGGAGGCAGCAGUAGGGAAUCUUCCGCAAAGGGCGAAAGCCUGACGGAGCAACGCCGCGUGAGUGAUGAAGGUCUUCGGAUCGUAAAACUCUGUUAUUAGGGAAGAACAUAUGUGUAAGUAACUGUGCACAUCUUGACGGUACCUAAUCAGAAAGCCACGGCUAACUACGUG
rnacentral:rRNA from 1 species